rnacentral:misc_RNA from 1 species
UGGGUUUGACAUGCACCGGACGCGUCCAGAGAUGGGCGUUCCCUUGUGGCUGGUGUGCAGGUGGUGCAUGGCUGUCGUCAGCUCGUGUCGUGAGAUGUUGGGUUAAGUCCCGCAACGAGCGCAACCCUUGUCCUAUGUUGCCAGCGGGUGAUGCCGGGGACUCAUGGGAGACUGCCGGGGUCAACUCGGAGGAAGGUGGGGAUGACGUUUACCGAC